GACGAACGCUGGCGGCGUGCUUAACACAUGCAAGUCGUACGGUAAGGCCCUUUCGGGGGUACACGAGUGGCGAACGGGUGAGUAACACGUGAGUAACCUGCCCACAACUUUGGGAUAACGCUAGGAAACUGGUGCUAAUACUGGAUAUGUGCUCCUGCUGCAUGGUGGGGGUUGGAAAGCUCCGGCGGUUGUGGAUGGACUCGCGGCCUAUCAGCUUGUUGGUGGGGUAGUGGCCUACCAAGGCGGCGACGGGUAGCCGGCCUGAGAGGGUGACCGGCCACAUUGGGACUGAGAUACGGCCCAGACUCCUACGGGAGGCAGCAGUGGGGAAUAUUGCACAAUGGGCGCAAGCCUGAUGCAGCAACGCCGCGUGCGGGAUGACGGCCUUCGGGUUGGAAACCGCGUUCAGCAGGGACGAAGCUUUUUGUGACGGUACCUGCAGAAGAAGCACCGGCUAACUACGUG
rnacentral:rRNA from 1 species